rnacentral:lncRNA from 10 species
CAGGACUGGUCCAUCAGAAUUGCCAGAUGUGAUGCGUGGAACCGUGGCAGCCAUCUUGCAACCAUGAAGUGAUGAGAAUGAGAACUAAAAGCCAAGCAGCUAAGGAUGGCAGAAGAAAGCCGGACAGGAGCUGGGUCUCUGUGAGCCCCGUUGAGCAGUUGAGUCAAUGCUGGGAAUCAUCUGUCUGGAGACUUCUUGUGAUGUGAAGUCUUAAAUGUCUUUCCUUAUGCCUUUGAUAAUGGCCAUUAGUUGCAUCAUAAGCCAUUUGUAAUUGACACAGGGAGUAGGAAGAUGAAGGUAACAAUGUGAGCAAACUUAUCACAUGUUGAUGUGGCGCUCUUGAAGCAGCUAUUUUAGUCUGAGAGGCAGUUUUUUUGUUUGUUUGCUUUUUUUUAGGUAGCUGGGGGGAAAGCCAAACUAUUAAAUAUUUAGUUUUUAAUUAUUGUUACUAAGUAGUACAUUCAGUAGUCAUCAGGCCCACAUCCCUUGUCCCUUGUUUGUCUUUUUCACUUAGGCCUGCUUUGAAUUUUUAAUAUAAAACAGUGUUUCGAGCAAUUUUGUGGAGAGUGUUUUCAAAUGGUCACAUCAGACAUUCCCUGGGUCAAAAUGGCCACAGCAAAUAGGCCUCCGCCAAGUGUAUGGCCUCACCUGGAGCAAAGGCACGGGAGGCAGGGAUCUGUGGAGUAGGGUGAGGACACAGC